rnacentral:misc_RNA from 1 species
UACGUAGGGGGCAAGCGUUGUCCGGAAUUAUUGGGCGUAAAGCGCGCGCAGGCGGUUCUUUAAGUAUGAUGUGAAAUCUUGCGGCUUAACCGCAAGCGGUCAUUGGAAACUGGGGAACUUGAGUACAGAAGAGGAGAGUGGAAUUCCAGGUGUAGCGGUGAAAUGCGUAGAUAUAUGGAGGAACACCAGUGGCGAAGGCGACUCUCUGGUCUGUAACAGACGCUGAGGCUCGAAAGCGUGGGGAGCAAACAGG